AUAUUUAAUUUAAAGCAAAAUGAUUUUAAAUCAUGCAUAUUUACUUUAGUCAAAAUGAUUUUUAAACAUGCCUCUAAAAUCUAGACUAAGAUAAUCCAUUAUGUACUUAUGAUAAUCGAUUAUGUUAAGUCAGUUGCAUGACAAUCGAUAGUGAACUUAUGACAAUCGAUUGUGUUAAGGCAGUGUGCAUCAGAUUUUUCAAAUCUGCAUGACAAUCG
rnacentral:lncRNA from 1 species